GACGAACGCUGGCGGCGUGCCUAAUACAUGCAAGUUGAGCGCUGAAGGUUGGUACUUGUACCAACUGGAUGAGCAGCGAACGGGUGAGUAACGCGUGGGGAAUCUGCCUUUGAGCGGGGGACAACAUUUGGAAACGAAUGCUAAUACCGCAUAAAAACUAUAAACACAAGUUUUAAGUUUGAAAGAUGCAAUUGCAUCACUCAAAGAUGAUCCCGCGUUGUAUUAGCUAGUUGGUGAGGUAAAGGCUCACCAAGGCGAUGAUACAUAGCCGACCUGAGAGGGUGAUCGGCCACAUUGGGACUGAGACACGGCCCAAACUCCUACGGGAGGCAGCAGUAGGGAAUCUUCGGCAAUGGACGAAAGUCUGACCGAGCAACGCCGCGUGAGUGAAGAAGGUUUUCGGAUCGUAAAACUCUGUUGGUAGAGAAGAACGUUGGUGAGAGUGGAAAGCUCAUCAAGUGACGGUAACUACCCAGAAAGGGACGGCUAACUACGUG
rnacentral:rRNA from 1 species